rnacentral:lncRNA from 10 species
CUCCAUGGCUCAAGCGAUUCUCCUGCCUUAGCCUCCCAAGUAGCUGGGACUACAGGCACAUGCCGCUGCGCCUGGCUAAUUUUUUGUAUUUUUAUUUUUUUUCUUUUUUGUAGAUACAGGAUUUCACCAUGUUGACCAGGCUGGUCUCGAACUUCUGAGCUCAAGCAAUCCUCCUGCCUCAGCCUCCCAAAGGGCUAGGAUUACAGGCGUGAGCCACCACGCCUGGCCUGGGAAAAUGAAGAUACCAAAGUUCAGAGAUGAUUAGGAAUUUUCCAAGAUCUCACAGCUCAGAAGUGACGGAGCCAGACUUUAAACCCAGGCAAACUGCUUCCGGGUCCCUGCUCUUCCUGCUCCGGUACUCCCAUGAACAGUGCUCCUUAUCUCAUUAUGUGCUGGCUUAGAAAUUCCAGGGGCUAAUUUUGAAACAAACCAGGCUUGCAGAUCCAGCUAUGAAAUCAGCUUGCUUAGUGGGCUUACAAACAAGGAGACCACCACCAAUAGGCAGAAGUCAAGAUGAUGCCAACUGGACCUCCAGGUGCUUGACUACUCAAGAAAGCCUUUGGAGCAAGACCUGCAGACCUGCACCUUCCUGCACCCCUCCCACCUGUUUCCUGUACCAUGUCUCCCUUCUGAAACCAUCUCACUCAGCCCAGAAAGUUGGACUGGUCUUUUAAAAGCAUGAGUCUGGCCAUUCCCCAAUUGCUAGCUUCCAAUUAAUAAAACUGUUUUCCUUUCGCUGCGCCUUGUUUCUCAUGUUUUCAACCUCUGAAUAGGGAGCAGCUGAACUUGAGCUGGUGACACCAUCGCUGACUUGCUCUGGGCCAUUGGGCAGGUCCUGUUCUCUCCCUGUGCUUCAGCUUCCCCAUCCGUAAUCCAAGGAUGAUAAUUAUAACAGCCUUACAGGCAAGACACAGGUGAUACUCACUAAGGGGUAAUUAAGAUGGUAAUGACUAUGAGGAUGGCAAAGAUGAUGACUGACAACAGUCAGGAUGAU